UGAGAAGAGUCGCUUAUUGUCGUUAGUGC
rnacentral:piRNA from 1 species